rnacentral:lncRNA from 1 species
AGCCGCUGCCACUGCUGCCGCCUGCAGUGUCGCAACCGUUGCGGUGGCUGUUGCCGCAUCGAGCACGGCCACAUUCGAGUGUUCCGUCGGUCCCGCUGUUACCACCAUUGCCGCUGCCAGUGUCCCUGCCGCCGCCGUCACAGUGGCGGUUGCGGCUGCCUCAACUGAUGUUGCCGGCGGCGUGCAGCUGCUCGAAUGCGUUGCUGUGGUGAAGGCCGAUGGACUCGUCCGCCUGCUUAACGGGGCACUCGCAGAUGUAGUAACCAGGCUGUCCGCAGUAGCGGCAGGUGUCGCCAGCCCCCACGGCGCCUGCAGCACUGGCGGUGCUGCCGACUCCACUGGGGGCACGGCCAGGGCCGACAGCUCCCACCAGGCUGGUCUUGCUUGCUUGGGUCUUGAGGUUGUUGUCCUUCUCCCGCAGCAUGAGCACGAGCUGUGGGGUCGUUAAGUUGGGCUGAUACAUCGUGAACUCGAUGGUGAUGGCGUACUGCGGAGGCAGGCCAUGGAGAAUGGCGUGGCGCACCGUGCUCUCGUCCCACUGGCCGCCGGCC